GAAGUUGAUCUAAACUGGCGGGAGUUCAGGACAUCCCAUCAGAAGGUGAUCUAACUGGCGGGAGGUCAGGACAUCCCAUCAGAAGUUGAUCUAACUGGUGGGAGGUCAGGACAUCCCAUCAGAAGGUGAUCUAACUGGUGGGAGGUCAGGACAUCCCAUCAGAAGGUGAUCUAACUGGUGGGAGGUCAGGACAUCCCAUCAGAAGUUAAUCUAACUGGUGGGAGGUCAGGACAUCCCAUCAGAAGGUGAU